UACGUAGGGUGCGAGCGUUAAUCGGAAUUACUGGGCGUAAAGUGUGCGCAGGUGGCCGCGCAUGUCGAGUGUGAAAUCCCCGGGCUUAACUUGGGAAUUGCGCUCGAAACUACGUGGCUCGAGUGUGGCAGAGGAAGGUGGAAUUCCACGUGUAGCGGUGAAAUGCGUAGAGAUGUGGAGGAACACCGAUGGCGAAGGCAGCCCCCUGGGUCAAGAUUGACGCUCAU
rnacentral:rRNA from 1 species